GAUUUCAACCGAAAAAGUCAUCAAUAAGAAAGUGGUAUAACUCAUCAAGAUCUAUAACUUUUAUUUGGGUUAUUUCUUCAUCCGACAAAGUGAUUUAUAACAUUGUUUACAAAAUGUACAUAUCCCUUACAUAGUUUAUAAACUAUAAGAGAGAUAUGUAAAUUUUAUGAACAAUGUUAUUAUUACUUUGUCGGAUGAAGAAAUGACCAAAAUAAAAAUUAUAGAUAUUGAUGAGUUGUACAAAUUUAUUGUUGAUGACUUUUUCAGUUGAAAUC
rnacentral:pre_miRNA from 1 species